CUUCAAAGUCCAACAAGUUCCUUCGAUAUGUCUAAACCAUCACCAGACAUUGAAUUUGAUGAUUUAGAGCAGCUAAGCCUGAUUGGAGAAGGAGAUGGAGGGAGCAAAGUUUUCGAAGUUGUGCAUCACCCAACUGGAAACCUCUAUGCACUAAAACAAUUAGGAAAAUCCCGUCUUCAAGAUUUCUACUCAAAAGAACGAAUCCACCAUGAAAUCAACAUCCUCAAGCACUUAGACCACCCAAAUUUGAUCAAAUUCUACCAAUUCUUUGAUCAAGAUGAAAACUUUCUUCUCUUGCUUGAGUACUUGAACUGCAAAUCCCUCGAGGGAAGCCAUAUCACCAAUGAAUCCACACUUUCAGACAUAGCCAGUCAAGUAUUGUCCAGCUUGGCUUACCUCCAUAGGAGAAAGCUUUUGCAUCGAAACAUCAGACCUUCAAAAAUCUUCAUGAAUUCUCAAAAGGGUAUAAAGAUAUCAUUUUUGGGACAAACCUUUUCAUUCCUUGGUGGGUUUUCAAUGGCAGCAUACACAAGUCCUGAAAACUUGGAUUUAGAUUUGAACCAACGAAUGGACAAUGGGUACUCUGGAGAUGUAUGGAGCCUUGGGAUAACCAUUCUUGAGUUGUAUCUGGGCUCAUUCCCCUUCAACUGUGGAAGAAAAUCUGACUGGGAAAUACUUAAGCAGACAAUCUGGCAUGAACAGCCACCUGAAGCUUCUCCAACAGCAUCACCAGAAUUUGCUGACUUUAUAUCGUGUUGUUUGAAGAAAGAUCAGGGGAAAAGAUGGACUGUUGAGCAACUACUUGGCCAUCCUUUUAUUUUUCUCAGAAAAAUUGGAAGCAGGAAAAUCCAGGGGUUUUUGGAUGCAUCAAACUUGGCAUUCAGUGAUUCAAGGGAUCAUACCUCAGCUGCUUUAUCCAUACAGAAGACAUAUCGAGGUUGGAAAGGUCACAAGGAUUUUCUUGCAAGACGGCAGAAAGUGAUAAAGAUACAGGCUUAUGUGAGAGGGUAUCAGGUCAGGAAAAUAUAUAAGGUAUACAGUGUUGCGAGUUUUCCAGAAGAGUCCGGAAUCAGGUGGCAUCAAGGAGGACUUGGUCUGAGGGGAUUUGGGCGUGAGAAAGAAUGUGUGAAUGAAAUUGAAAGGGAACAGGUUCAGAAGUUGUCCCAUCGGCUGAAAUUUGAACAAGCUCGCAACGAGGCUGGCUACAGGGUUGCUUCAGUGGGUGACUUUCCAGAUGAACAUGAGCAGCAUCAGGGAAAUUUUAAAGACUAUGGUGAAUCUACGGUGCCCUCAGUACCAUCAUUUGGUUCUCCCAUCUCUUCUUCAACUACGUGGACUUUAACUCAAGAGAAGUUGCUUGAGAGUGCUCUGCAGUUGUUUUCUGAGGACUGUCCCAAUCGUUGGGAAAAAGUGGCAGCUGUAGUUGGUGGUGGGAUGUCAGCUGAUGAUGUUAAAAAUCAUCCGAAAGUGCUUGUCACUGGAUACCAAAUUUCCAAGCCUAAGCAGGCUGUUCUGACAUCCAGAUAUGCUCUGAAACAUCGAAGAUCAAAAGUUCCCACUACAUUAAUUCAUGUAUCACCAGAGGAAUUUCGGGCAACUGUAAUGAAAUGGACUGAAUCUAGAAAUCAACAGACAAGUGAAAUAGCCAAGGCCAAAGAAUCUCCACUUGAACCAUUUGAACCUGGAUCCAAGGAUAAGAGAACAUAUUGUACGGGAGGGAAGAAAGAGUCAAAUAAGAUUGCUACAAAUUUGGAUGCUGAAUUUGAGAAUUUGCCUGAGUAUGUCAGAAGGUGUGUAACAUAUUGCACCUUGUUUCCUCUUGGUUAUGAAUUUGAGAAGGAUACGUUGGUGCAAUUAUGGAUUGCAGAGGAACUCAUUGUUGCCAAAGCUAAAGAAAAACUGGAGAAUCAGGGUGGCAUUUGUUUUGAUAUUUUGGUAUAUAAGGAGUAUAUUGUGCCCUCAAGAUUCAAUAAGCUCUAUAGACAGCAAAAGUAUAAGGUUAAUGAAUCUAAGUGUUCUAUGUGGUAUUUUCAACAAGGUUUUUCUGAGGAAUCCUAUGUAAGGUUUGAGGAAGGGAAGUUGAAGGACAUAUCUAGAAAAACCUUACAUUUAUCCUUGCAAAAGUUGGAUUCAAGUCAUUUUGAGGCUCUUAAAAAUUGCAAACAAUUGCGCACGCUUCUAUUUCUUGGAGAGUGUGUCCCCUCAAUCAAUCAGCUACCUCGUGAUCUUUUUCUAUGCUUGAAGAGUUUAAGAACUUUGGAUUUAAGUGGAACCCUCGUAUCAGGAUUGCCAAGUUCUAUAGGGUGUUUAGAAUUAUUACAUUACCUCGACUUCUCUUAUACUCCCAUUAGAAUUUUGCCUAGAUCAAUUGAAACCCUUUAUAGUUUACAAACACUAAAACUCAGAGAUUGCUUUGCUCUUUGUUCAUUGCCUCCGGGAAUGAGAAAUCUGACUAGUCUUCGACAUUUGGACUUUGACAUUGUACGUCAAUUAAACUUCAUUCCGAAAGGAAUGGGGAGUUUGACAAAUCUUCAAACCUUGAAAGCAUUCCUAGUUGGAAGGGAAGAAGGAUGCAGUGUUGCAGAGCUAAAAGAUUUGGAUAAUAUCACUGGAACAUUUUGCAUCGCAAGGCUUGAAAAUGUUGCAAACGUGGUUGAAGCUAAGAAAGCUGCUCUAAACAGCAAGCAGUACAUUACAAAACUUGAGUUAAGAUGGGGUGAACAUAGAUAUCAAAACUCCAAGGCUGAAGAGCAGAUCUUGGAGUAUCUUCAGCCACAUACAAAUCUUGAAAGCUUACAGAUACUGUUUUACAAUGGUUCAUUACUUCCAAGUUGGAUUAGUAAUCCAUCAUUCACUAAUCUUGCAAGCAUCACCCUUUGCAACUGCAAGAACUGCUAUCUUUUACCCUCUAUGGGAGAGUUACCCUCAUUGAGUAUCCUCAAAAUAGUUGGUAUGGCUGGCCUAAGAGACAUCAACCGUCUGUUUUGCAGAAAUUAUAGAAGUCAAGGCUUGAAAGCAUUUCCCAAGUUGGAGAAAUUGACACUUGAGAACAUGCUUAACCUUGAAGAAUGGACCGGAAUGGAGAAUGGAGACUUUCCAUGCCUUCUUCAAAUGUCUAUAAUAUGCUGCCCAAAAUUAUAUGAUCUUCCAUUGCUUUCACAUUUUAAAGCACUCAAGAAACUUGAGAUAAGCUACUGUGCAGCCCUGCAAUCUUUGCAUGCAGAACAUCAACUUCCUCCUUCACUUCAAUCUUUAAUCUUAAGAGAUUGUCCAAAGGUUACAGAAAGAUGCCGCAAGGAUGGAGGUGAAGACUGGUUUAAGAUAGUUCAUGUGCCUAAUAUUUGGAUUGAUGAUGAAGAAAUUUCUCUCAAUUGAUAGCUCAAGUGAUACGAUCUCAUUACACAACUGAAUAAGCGGAAAUGCUGUUAUGGCAUCUGACAUACAAUCAUGCCUAUUCUUGUUAGGACAUCAUUGAGUCAUUUCUUAAGGUGUCAAUUUGAAGAGCAAAAAAGUCAUUUUUUGGGGUGUACAGACACCAUCUGUUUGUUCUUGGGUGUGGCGUAAACUGCUUAAGCUAAGGCGUUAGGUACACCAUUAUAUCAUGCAUGUGAUAGAUGUUGGGGAAAAUACGAGUUUUUGGUUUGAUUUUUGGCAACUUAUAGGCCCUCCACACCAGAAGUUCAGUGGGAAAUUUCUCCAUCCUCUUGGUCUAAUUGUAAAGGGUCUAAAGUAGCUCAAUUUAUUAAAUGUAGGGAUUGGCAAUGGCCUCAAGGUAAAAAGUUUAAUCUCAAGGUGAGAAGGUUGAACUUGGCUACUCCAAUAUGCUUUGUUCCUCUUCCUGAUAGCUCUGAUUCUAUCUACUGGACUACCAGUACACCUGUUCAGUUUCUUUGAAAUCAGCGAUAGAACACUCGUGUCUUGAGAUGCCCAGGCAGUAAAGUUGAACGGUACCAGUUGGUGUGAAGCACAGGUUUUGUUCUCAAAUUUUCUUCAUCCUGUGGCUUGCAUGUAAGAAGAAGCUGUUGACCAGAGACAGGCUAAGGAGUUGAAAGUACCGGCCUUUUGUUUUACUUAUUGCGUUGCAAGUGCUUGGCCUGAUGAGCUACAUUGGAUGUGUCACCAUUGGAAGGGCAAGUGUUUUUGCUGUCAAUUUGAAGAGGCUAAUGCUAGCUGUUACAGUCUAUCAACUUUGGCGAAUGAGGAAUGAGGUAAUAAAUUCGGCAUCGUUCUCCCUCAACUUGUGCUGUUGUAGCUGGAAUUGUAGGCAUAGUUUAGAUUGGCUGUGAGUAUUUGGAGAGAUGUUCCUUGUACAAAAGAAAAUCGGGAUUUAGCAUUGGGGUUUGUAACAUGGGAUUUUUUGAGCAUGAUUUUUUAAAAAAAAUAAAAAUAUCUGUUUUGGUGGGA